GAUAAAAAAUUGAUUCCCCAGCGAGGGAAAAAAAUUUCAUCUAAUUUUGGUAGUCAUCAUUGAAGAUUUGAGGGGUAGGUCUAUCUGUUUUUCAUUAUCUCUAGCUAAUAGCUGUUACCCUAUAAAGCCCCAACAAAGUAGGUUUUAGAUAUUUGCCCUCGUUGGGGUUUAGGCCAAAUACCCUUUGCACCGAAGCAGAGGACCCUUUACUGUGUGUAGAAGGAUCUUCAUCUUCAUGGCCAUGGCCAUGGCCGUCUCUUGCUUCCAGAUGUUGCUCUGCUAGCAGACAGAGCAUUUCAGUCAGGGAAUAUUUAAAGAUCAUAGAGGUUAAAUAAAGCAUCUGCCGCAGAAAAGCAAGAUACUCCCCUACAGAGGAGCAGUCUGAAUAUUGGGCUGAGGCUCAAGGUUGAAGGAAUUGGUGUUUGAUCCAAUUGAUUCUUUGCGGCGUGAAGUCCAAGAGGUCUCUUCAACUAUUAUUUCUUUCUUUUCAAAGUUAAUUGGAAAGUUCUUCAA